GCGCGCGCGCGACUCGGAGCAGUUUCUGGCAGUUGAAGAGCUGACCAGGAGAUCCAGCCUGUGUCACAGAUGGUGCUUACAGAACAGAAUUUCAGGGACCAUUGGAAGCAUGGCAGGAAUACUGGGAGCGGUGUAUCGCUGCAUGGGGCGACUACCUUGAAAGGGAUGGCAGCCAAAUUUAAAUCAGACGAAACACCGCUGAUGGUGCAGACAAAGGAACAUCAGUUUCUCGAGUGCAGACUGUAGAGAGACUCAGACCCUGCUGAAACUCAGAUCUCUCUCCAUCUUUACAGAAGCUGUGGCUGCAUGACAGGGCAACAGGAUCUUUAAAGAUGUCAUGACAGACAGGACAGGAGAGAUCACUUUC